UUUUAAAUGACAUUUUCAAGUCUUCUUUAUAAUCAAAUAGUUUUUUUUUUCUUUGGGGAAAUGACCCAAUUUUUUUUUAGACAUAUCUAUGGGACUGAUAUCCACUAAAUAUUAGAAAAUGAAAGCAGACUAUUUUACUAGUUGAAAACUUUGAAGAGUAAAUUUUCUCAUUACGCCAGUUUUGAAUGGAUGAAGUUGUUGUGCUAUCUCCGUAUAUUUCCGCUUUCGUUCGCUCUGCUUUGAAGAAGAUUAGGUCUCCCCGUGAAUUUGAGUCUUCAGCGGAGAAAAUAUGGUGGAUGUUCAAUUUGUUUCCUGUGUAUUGUCUGUUGAUGGCGUUUCUAUGUUUUGCUGUACCUAUGCAUAUUAAUGUUGGAAUAUGUAUUCUCCUGGCAAUGGUUUGGAUGGGAAUUCAAUCGGUGUUGUUCCACACACUGGGUUAUUGGAACACCUACAAGCCUUACUAGUUACAUGGUGCGGAAUGGAGGUUUAUGAUCGAGUUGAUUACAAGUGGUAUUGCAGCAGCUUCGCAUCAGAUUUUGGUGUUCAAGCGUGGGGUUCUAUCAUUCAUGGAAAUUUUGGAUGGAGCUCAAUUUUGGCCUCUCAAUAUAUUGUUAUCCUGCACCUCGUAUUUUUAUCUCGUUGCUCACUUCACUCACCGAUCUUAUGAUAUUACUAUUACAGAUGUUAUAGUGGUAUUAGCGAUGCAGGUAUCUUGUUUUACUGUGUGCGGGGACUUGUAUAUUCGGUCCCUGCCUUUGUUCUUCUGCAUCUGCAUAUGUUUCUAUAGAUACGCCGCGUAUGCUGGCCCUACUGUGAUACCGCAUCCCAAAAGAGAGUCGGAGGACGUGCCUGUCUAAAUCGAACGUGUAACUAACUUAAAAUACCUUAAUAAUGUUUUUCAGUUAUUUACUCUUAUCAUGUUUUGGAUGAUACUUUAUCUAUAAAAUAUGAUAUGAUGUCUGAUUUAUUAAGACAUGUGAAAGAGUUUUUCUGCCUUUUUGGAUUUAUUUAUGUGAAUGUCUCCUCCUCUAAUCUUCUUCAUAUUUUGUUGUUUUUACACUAAAUAAGGGGGUAAAUUGAUUAAUCAUAUGCUACAUUCAUGUAUCGGUUAUGAAGUGACUUGUUAUCCCGUCGAAUUUGAUGUCUCCUUUUUGAUCUAAGAGGGUGCUGCACAGUGGCGGAGCCAGAAAUUUUACUAAGGGGUUCAAAAUCGAAAAAAGUAAGCACACGAACUAGUCGAAGGGGGUUCAACAUCAACUAUAUAUACAACAACAACAACAACAAAAAACCCAGUAUAUUCCGACACAGUGGGGUCUGGGGAGGGUAAAAUGUACGCAGUCCAUACCACUGCUUCCGAAGAAGUAGAGAGGUUGUUUCUGAUAGACCCCCGGCUUAGAACAAAGGAAACAUCAACUAUAUAUACAUAAAAAAUAAUUUUAAUUUUAACCACAUAUAAAUAGCAUAAUAUUCCAUCGAAGGGGGUUCGGAUGAACCCCGUAACUACAAGGUGACUCCGCCACUGGUGCUGCAUAUCCCUGGGACCUGAGAAUAUUCGGGGUUUGAGAAUGUUUGUUGCUCUGUUCAUCUAUUGACAUUAGCAUUUGUGGACCGGACUUACUUGGCUGAUCUUGCUGAUGCCUUGUCUUGAUCAGAGAUAGGUAGUCGACUGUGUUCAAUGUACCAUUCCAGUGAUCUGUACUUUUUUUUUCUUUUUUUCUUUCUGUUUUUGGUAAGCUCACCAGAGUCCAUUCCUUAGAGUCCUCAGGAGCAGAUGAGGUAGAAACCAUGGGGUGCUCCAGCAUUUCCUAGUAUACCACGAGAAUGGACACAACAUGUCUAAUCCCUCAUAAUGCAGAGGCUGGUAAUGCGAGACGUGGUUUUUGAGUGGCUUCCCAUAUGUGAGCAUAUCUACCCUUAACCGUAGAGGAUGUCCAAGUGGUACCUCCAUGCAUAAGCUGUGAUACUUCAUCCCAAAAGGGAGUCAGGGUAGUUGAGCAUCUGUAGUGGAUAAGCUAGACUGGCCAGAUCAGGUUGAAGUAGUCGGGUCUCGAAAGGAUUUAUGCAUGAGUCAAAGGUUGAAACCGCCCAACGACUAGUUUGGGGAUGCAGAUUGAUGGAUUAUUGGACAAGCUAAUAGGAAAUAUAGUUAUCUCUUAAAGUUUGUUUCUCCUCAUCCCCAUUCCCGAGUCAGUUUCUUCUCACCCUAUCUUCGUUUGGAUUAGCUGAAUGAAAAUAGUUGAUAAGCAUUUGGUUUUGAAAAUCACUUUUUGAAUGGAAGCUGUCCGGACAGUCAUGGCGAUGUCUGUUUUCAAGAAGAUUAAGACUCCAUGCAAUAGUGAUGCAAAUGGUCAACACAUAGAGGCUCAAGACUUGGUCACCUCGAGAAUACAAGAACAUGCAUGGAGGACCCGUUUUGAGCAUAACUUAAAGCAAUCUCGCGUGUGGAAGAUUGCUUGGAGCAUUUAAGGUUGAGGACUCACGGUUUUGGACCUUAAUUAAGGGCAUUUUGGACAUUACACAUGGUGUAUUUACACACCAUGGCCGCCCCUCUCAUUAAGGGCAAAGUGGUCUUUUUAUCUUCAUUUGUAAUAUAUUAUAAAUAGGCCGCCUUAGUCUUAUUUUCACUAGAUUUGGAAUGAUGAAGAAUUGAAAGACAUAUUUUCUUUCUUUUGAGAGUGUAACACCCUUAGUUGUAGGGCUUGAAAAAGUCAUCCUUAGCAUAGGGCUUGGAAAAGCCAAUAUUGAUCUUUGCUUGGAAACGGUAGAUCUUGAGGUGAGUUCAUUCCCUUGGUGGUCACCGUAAGAGUGUGGUUUUGAUUGUUACAUUCAUUAGGGGUUAAUGUUGAAAUACACUUGGUUCUUAAUCUUGUAAUAAUCUUGAUCUCACUAUCUAUCUUUAUUUUCUU